GCGUAGGAAUCUGCCUUUUAGUGGGGGACAAACUUGGGAAACCGUGAGCUAAUACCGCAUAAUACCUUUGGGUCAAAGGUGCCUAGUUUACUAGGUGUCGCUAAGAGAUGAGCCUGCGUUGGAUUAGCUAGUUGGUUAGGUAAAGGCUGACCAAGGCGACGAUCCAUAGCUGUUCUGAGAGGAAGAUCAGCCACACUGGGACUGAGACACGGCCCAGACUCCUACGGGAGGCAGCAGUGGGGAAUAUUGGACAAUGGGGGCGAACCCUGAUCCAGCAAUGCCACGUGUGUGAAGAAGGCC
rnacentral:rRNA from 1 species